rnacentral:rRNA from 1 species
GACGAACGCUGGCGGCGUGCCUAAUACAUGCAAGUCGGACGCAGUUGUGAACGCGUGAGUAACGCGUAUGUAACUACAUAUGAGAGGGGGAUAACUAUUGGAAACGAUAGCUAAUACCGCACACUAGUAGAUGGACCUGCGUUGUAUUAGCUAGUAGGUAGGGUAAUGGCCUACCUAGGCAACGAUACAUAACCGACCUGAGAGGGUGAUCGGCCACACUGGGACUGAGACACGGCCCAGACUCCUACGGGAGGCAGCAGUAGGGAAUCUUCGGCAAUGGGCGAAACCUUGCCGAACAACGGCGGCGUGGUUGAGGAGGUUUUCCGGUUUGUAAGCUCUUUUGUUAAGGGAGCGGUACUUAACCAGAAAGGAACGGCUAACUACGUGCCAGCAGCCGCGGUAAUAC